UUCUGUUUGCAGUUUGGUCACCGAUUCAUCUACGCUUUGAGUGUAAUACGGUUCUUCAUGAACAUUAUUUUCAGCUUGGAUGCUGGAUGUGAAUGAUAUUUGGUAUACCAAAUUAACAGAUUUUCGGAAUGAGUUCGAUGAAGUGUGUCUCGGUGAAUGAACGAAUUCAAAAUUCGUUGCAGGAAUGAGCCAUCGUCGUGACGUUGCAAUAACCGCAGCUCGAAAUGGUAGUAUAAUAAUAGAAUUCAACUUACCCGCAGUUAAUAAUUAUUACACAUAUAUGUAAUCUUAAUUAAACUGUAUGCUUUUUUUAUCAGAUA